GCCCAGACUCCUACGGGAGGCAGCAGUGGGGGAUAUUGCACAAUGGGGGGAACCCUGAUGCAGCGACGCUGCGUGGGAGAAGGAGCGUUUCGGCGCGUAAAGCCCUAUCGGCAGGGAAGAAGAUGACGGCACCUGACCAAGAAGCCCCGGCUAACUACGUGCCAGCAGCCGCGGCAAUACGUAGGGGGCAAGCGUUAUCCGGAUUUACUGGGUGUAAAGGGGGCGCAGACGGCAAUGCAAGCCAGGAGUGAACGCCCGGGGCCCAACCCCGGGACUGCUCUUGGAACUGCGUGGCUAGAGUGCAGUGGGGGCAGGCGGAAUUCCUGGUGUGGCGGUGAAAUGCGU
rnacentral:rRNA from 1 species